ACAAAAAUUACAUUUACACCGAAAUAAACAGAGAACUUUGGAACGAUUUCAAACAGUCAAAUACACUGGACAAGAUUAACUCUGUGGGAUGUGGUAUAAUAUUUUUCGACUCUUAUUAUUUCCUUGACAAAAAAGAAACUAAUGAUUUGAC